UUGCUCUUCAACGAGGAAUGCCUAGUAAGCGCGUGUCAUCAGCAUGCGUUGAUUACGUCCCUGCCCUUUGUACACACCGCCCGUCGCUACUACCGAUUGAAUGGCUCAGUGAGGCCUUCGGACUGGCUUGGGGAGGUUGGCAACGACCACCCUAAGCCGGAAAGUUCGUCAAACUCGGUCAUUUAGAGGAAGUAAAAGUCGUAACAAGGUUUCCGUAGGUGAACCUGCGGAAGGAUCAUUACAUUCAGUAGCCUAGCUACUUGUUUACACCCUUGUUUUUUUGCGCACUUCAUUGUAUCCCUCGGCGGGCUUGCUCGCCGGUUGGACAACAUUUAUAACCUUUUUUAAUCUUCAAUCAGCGUCUGAAUUAUAUUUAAUAAUUACAACUUUCAACAACGGAUCUCUUGGUUCUGGCAUCGAUGAAGAACGCAGCGAAAUGCGAUAAGUAGUGUGAAUUGCAGAAUUCAGUGAAUCAUCGAAUCUUUGAACGCACAUUGCGCCCCUUGGUAUUCCAUGGGGCAUGCCUGUUCGAGCGUCAUUUGUACCCUCAAGCUUUGCUUGGUGUUGGGCGUCUUGUCUACCUCUUUAGCGGGUAGACUCGCCUUAAAGUAAUUGGCAGCCAGUGUUUUUGGCAGUAAGCGCAGCACAUUUUGCGUCUUAGUCCCUAAACAGUGGCAUCCACAAAGCCUCUUUCUCACUUUUGACCUCGGAUCAGGUAGGGAUACCCGCUGAACUUAAGCAUAUCAAUAAGCGGAGGA
rnacentral:rRNA from 1 species